rnacentral:misc_RNA from 1 species
GAUGAAGAACGUAGCGAAAUGCGAUACGUAAUGUGAAUUGCAGAUUUCAGUGAAUCAUCGAAUCUUUGAACGCACAUUGCGCCCGCUAGUAUUCUGGCGGGCAUGCCUGUUCGAGCGUCAUUUCAACCAUCAAGCCCUAGGCUUGCGUUGGAGCCCUGCGGCUGCCGCAGACUCCCAAAUCCAGUGGCGGGCUCGUCGUCGUACCGAGUGCAGUAAACAUCCUCGCUCAGGGAACGUGACGGGUUCUUGCCGUGAAACCCCCCACAUAUCAAGGUUGACCUCGGAUCAGGUAGGAAUACCCGCUGAACUUAAGCAUAUCAAUAGCGGAGGA